rnacentral:lncRNA from 1 species
AUGAUUGGUCUUGAAUAUAUUUCAAGUCUCAGUGUGGGCUCUCAUUCAUCCAUGCAAGAGGAGACCUAUGGCUCCAGGGGACAGCAAAAUUCACUGGUUUCAGUUUAUGGUGUGAUGGAAGACAGAUCUUAUCAGAAACAUCUCUAAUGUCAUCUGGUUGGCCAAGAAACCUACAGAGUCUGAGUCUUAACACGGGUCUUCAGAGCCAGGUGCUCCCAUAGCACAGAUGUCCAAGCUCACCUGCCACCUUCCCAUCCGUUCCUAAGGUGAGGUUUCUUCCCAGGGCUGGUCCAGCUGUUCUGGUGCAUGUCAAACAUUGCGAUGUAUCCCCUGAUGGAGAGGCCAGAUCUGGAACAGGAGAUGAGGGACAC